rnacentral:ncRNA from 1 species
UGUCUUCAGGGCAGGGUGUAAUUCCCGACCGGCAGUAAAGUCUGCGAGCUCCUUUUCGCAUUUUUGGAGCAUGAUGAGGUGCAACUCCUCAACCGAUAGUAUAGUCUAGAUGAAAGAAGAU